AUGGAGUGUAGGGUGGGACACUGUUUGAUUUGUGGAAGGGAAAACCAUAUCACUAGUGAUUGCAAUUUACUGAAGCAAGUGAAACUAGUUCCCAAAUAUGUUGGAUAUGCUGCCAAAGGGCUGGGAAUCCUACUGGUUCAAAGUUACAAAGAUGUGCUUGUUGCUGAACACACAAAUCCUUUAGGUGUGGUGAUUGUUAGGGAAGGGAAAAUCAAUGAAACUGAGCUCACAAAGGCUAUGGGAGAGAUGUUUGAUUGGGAGUGGCAGUGGAGAGUUAACGAAUUUGGACAAAAUGGGUUCAUGAGGAGAUUCCCCAACAAGGCAAAACUGGUAGAACUGGCUAAAUUCAAUGACUUCAAUUUGCUUGGGACAGGGGUGGUCAUCAAGGUCCAGCUCUGGUACCUGGAUCACCAAGCUAUGGGGAAAUUUCAUACUGUAUGGAUUAAACUGAGCAGGGUGCCUGAUUGUUUCAGACACUUCUUGGGCAUAUGUGAAGUUUCAGCUGCAGUGGGGCAUGUGCUGGAAGUGGAUAUGGAUACAGUCAAUGAAGAAAAAUUAAGGGUCAAAUGUGGAAUCAGAGAUGUGGAAAAAACUCCACCUCAAGUGGAAAUCACUGCCCCUGAUUUGCUCAUGUUCAGGAUUGGUGUGGAAGUGGAGAAGGUGAUGGAAAUUGGCUGGUAUAAGGAGGAUAAGAGGAAAAAUGAAAACACACAUAAUCUAGAAGAUGGGGAUGGAGAAACAAAGAAUAGGAAAAGAUCCAGGGUGGAAGAAACUGAACACAAAGGCAUUUCACUGGGAUGUUUGUCUCUCAAACAGAGUGAGGAAGUAGAUGGAAAACUGAUCAAAAUGAAAAAACAAUUAGAAGAAAGUAUGAUGCAAUGGCAAGAUGAAAUGUAUGCUGAGAGAAGGAAGUGGCAAAAAGAGAGUGACAUCAUGUUCAACAAGAUCAAGACCUUGGAAGAGGACAAAGCUAGACACAGUGCAUGUGGGCUAAAGCUAAACAGAAAAUAA
rnacentral:rRNA from 1 species